AUUGAACGCUGGCGGCAUGCCUUACACAUGCAAGUCGAACGGCAGCACGGGUGCUUGCACCUGGUGGCGAGUGGCGAACGGGUGAGUAAUACAUCGGAACGUACCUUAUCGUGGGGGAUAACGCAGCGAAAGCUGUGCUAAUACCGCAUACGCCCUGAGGGGGAAAGCGGGGGAUCGAAAGACCUCGCGCGAUUAGAGCGGCCGAUGCCUGAUUAGCUUGUUGGUGGGGUAAAAGCCCACCAAGGCGACGAUCAGUAGCUGGUCUGAGAGGACGAUCAGCCACACUGGGACUGAGACACGGCCCAGACUCCUACGGGGGGCAGCAGUGGGGAAUUUUGGACAAUGGGGGCAACCCUGAUCCAGCAAUGUCGCGUGAGUGAAGAAGGCCUUCGGGUUGUAAAGCUCUUUUGUCAGGGAAGAAACACCGGCUCUAACACAGUCCGGGGAUGACGGUACCUGAAGAAUAAGCACCGGCUAACUACGUGCCAGCCGCCGCAGUAA
rnacentral:rRNA from 1 species